UACAGAGGGUGCGAGCGUUAAUCGGAAUUACUGGGCGUAAAGCGCACGUAGGUGGCGACGUAAGUCGGGUGUGAAAGCCCCGGGCUCAACCUGGGAAUUGCAUUCGAGACUGCAUUGCUGGAGUACGGAAGAGGAGGGCGGAAUUCCCGGUGUAGCGGUGAAAUGCGCAGAUAUCAGGAGGAACACCGGUGGCGAAGGCGGAUCUCUGGGCCAUUACUGACGCUGAGGAGCGAAAGCGUGGGGAGCGAACAGG
rnacentral:rRNA from 1 species